rnacentral:lncRNA from 1 species
AGACACCGCCUCCACCACAGUCCUGGCAACUUCUUCAUAAGUGUUUGCCAGCCUAGUUUGUAUUAUUUUAUCCACGGCCGGACGCUGCGCCACGCGACUGCAUUGCCAGCCACGAGGAAGUCUGACAAGUAUCACAAGCUCGAGGACUGACUGGACUAUAAAGUGGCACUUGUCUUAAAAGGCCAGGAGCAACAUUGGAGAUGAUGCAGAAAGUGGCAUCUGUCUUUGCUACUCACAUCCAUACAGCAAUGAACAAAGGUGAACAGUUUUCAUAGACCAUGCCAAGAUUGUCAGACAAGAAAAACAAAUCUAUCUGAAAACCAAGUGAAGGAAAUGAUAUCUAUACUCCAGUGAUAUCUAUAAUGUCUUUAUUUGUCUUGACCAACUCUGAAAAGCAAGUUCGAGCUCAACCAUCCUAUGUGUCUGACUUCUGCUAAGUGUGGAGCAUCAUGCCAUCCCAAGUGCCUGUUAGAACUGAGUGGUGACACCAAUACAGACAGAAAUGAUUCGUCGGCUCCUUACCUGGCAACUCAGAAGCAGGAAUGUUCUGACGAUACUGGUAGGUCAGCUCUCGGAAGCUACGCAGACCACAGCAGUAACACAGCACAGUAUUUCCAGUGAUUCUGUAAUCUGGGGGAACAUAGCCAUAUCUGGACACAGCCAUUUAUCAAGCAAUGUCAUUUUCCAACACCAAAAUAGACAUACUUCAAACUAGUAGGAAAUUAACACAUCAACUCAACGGGUUAGAUAUUUGGAAAAUAACCCAAAAACCAAUCUAAAUACCAAUUUAGCUGGAUUUUUAUUUAUUUUUAUUUUAUCAGUGUUUAUGUGCAUGAAUGUCUGUGCAUCAUAAGUGUGCAGUAGGUGCAAAGAUGAGAAGAGGCACUGGAUCCUCUGGAACCAGAGUUACAUGAGCCACCAUGUAGGCGCUGGGAACCCUGGUCCUCUCCAAGAGCAACGAAUGUUCACAACGACUAAAAUAAUCACCCGUGGAUUAAAAUUUUAAAUAUUUAAAAAUUCCCCCAAAAGUUUUAAGAUUGGAGAGAGUAUUCUCUUGUGCUAAAGUAAAUUAAAUUAGUAAUUCCUUAUCUGAAAUACAUGGGUCAGAGGUAUUUAAUACGGUUAAUUAUUUCUUAUCUAGAACAUGUAGGUCACUGGUAUUCUGGCUUAGAUUGAUUUUUCAGAUCUGAACAUAUUUGCAUUUAUGUUCCCAAGGAUUAAAAUAAAUUACGUGUAUAAGUGUUUUGCCUG